rnacentral:piRNA from 1 species
UAAUUGUGUCAUAUUCAAACU